CAAACCGGAUUAGAUACCCGGGUAGUCCCAGCUGUAAACGAUGCAGACUCGGUGAUGCAUUGGCUUGUGGCCAGUGCAGUGCCGCAGGGAAGCCGUUAAGUUUGCCGCCUGGGAAGUACGUACGCAAGUAUGAAACUUAAAGGAAUUGACGGGGGAGCACCACAAGGGGUGAAGCCUGCGGUUCAAUUGGAGUCAACGCCAGAAAUCUUACCCGAGGAGACAGCAGAAUGAAGGUCAAGCUGGAGACUUUACCAGACAAGCUGAGAAGUGGUGCUUGGCCGUCGCCAGCUCGUGCCGUGAGAUGUCCUGUUAAGUCAGGUAACGAGCGAGAUCCCUGCCUCUAGUUGCCACCAUUACUCUCAGGAGUAGUGGGGCGAAUUAGAGGGACCGCCGUAGUUAAUACGGAGGAAGGAAGGGGCCACGGCAGGUCAGUAUGCCCUGAAACCUUGGGGCCACACGCGGGCUGCAAUGGUAGUGACAAUGAGUUUCUAAUCCGAAAGGAGGAGGUAAUCUUCAAACGCUACCACAGUUAUGAUUGAGGGCUGCAACUCGCCCUCAUGAAUAUGGAAUCCCUAGUAACCGCGUGUCAUUACCGCGCAGUGAAUACGUCCCUGCUCCUUGCACACACCGCCCGUCGUUUCAGUUGAGUUUGCUUUUAGGCGAGGUGAUGUCUCAUUGGCGUUAUCGAACUUGA
rnacentral:rRNA from 1 species